UACGGGGGGGGCAAGCGUUGUUCGGAAUUACUGGGCGUAAAGGGCGCGUAGGCGGCCACCGCAAGUCGACUGUGAAAUCUCCGGGCUUAACCCCGGAAAGGUCAGCCGAUACUGCGGGCUAGAGUGCAGAAGGGGCAUGGAGUCACUGGUGUAGCGGUGAAAUGCGUAGAUAUCGAGAGGAACACCUGCGGCGAAGGCGGGUUGCUGGGCUGACACUGACGCUGAUGCGCGAAAGCGUAGGGGAGCAACGGG
rnacentral:rRNA from 1 species